GAAAGGAAAGGAAAGGAAAGGAAAGGAAAGGAAAGGAAAGGAAAGGAAAAGAAAAGGAAAGAAAAGAGAAUAAAAGAAAGAAAAAGAAGUGGGGGAAACAGUGACUACUUACAAUCCAAGUCAUUAGAAAAUCAUUGUAGCAAGACACAUCUUUCAUGUAGCCUGGUCUAAUUUCUGGGACAGGCAAUAGAUUCAGAGAUGUUUUUAUGUAUUCUACAUACCUUAAAGUAUUAAUUAAAUGUUUUUAAAUAGAUAUGUUUCAUCACACUGUAAAAAGUGCACGUGCUAAGUUUCUGGUGGGGACUUUUUUUUUUUUUCUUAACAGCUGCGUGAUAUAUUUAGAGGCACCAUGAAGAAUGCCUGAGGUUACAAAAAAAGGGGGGGGCAGAGAAGAAAUGAAUCACUUGACAUAAUAUGACUAAGAAAAGAAGCAAAAAAUUUUUCUAUUAGUCAAAUGUCAAAAUAUGUAGCAAAAAUCAAAGAAGCUUAAAAACAAGCAAAUCCAAAACAACAUUGCUGCAGGCAGAAAAGAAAUAUUAACCAAAUGAUAAAAGGCCAUUCCUAAACACAGACUUCAGCUUUUUUCUAUGUUUACCAGCAAGCUGGUGGCAACUCAGAUUUCAACAAUUUACUUAACCACAGAAGAUAAAGUUGCUAGAAAUUUUUAUCAUAAGCAGUGGUGGAAGAAAAGAAUGGAAAGACAGAGGACCACUGUUAGAGGGUGUCAGGAGGGGGCUGGCUGGCACUGAAUGAGCAGCAAAGAGUCUAUGUUUCAGCAGUCUGUGUUUUCUGAAAAGCAAAGGCUGGGAUUUUUCCUUUUGCACUUUUCCUAAUUAAGUUUUCUUAUGUAACAAAAAUGGAUUUAUUAAUAAAUGAAUUUAAGUAAUAUUAGCUUGAUCACAGCUAGCUUAUGUUGUAAGAUUUCAUAUACUGCCAUCUGAAAUUAUAAACAAAAUAUUAGGGUGUUUUCCUGUCCAAUAUUUUUGGGGCAUUUUGAAGUGGACUUUUUCGUUAUUCAAAAAGGAAAUGAUUAUUCUGCUUCUGUUUAUUGCCAGAUGGUAAUAUAAAUUUGUAGUUUAUUUAAGAAUAGGCUUAAAUGUGGGCCUUUGUAUUUGGAAUGUAUCUAUAAUUUGAUUGAAUCCUUCUUAUUUGUGAUGUAUCAAUAAUUUGAUUGAAUAUGAGUUAUGUACUAUGAAGUUGCAUGUUAGAUUAAUUUCCUUUUUCUUCCCUGAAGACACCACAAAUAAACUGCACCCAAAAUCAUGUGCUGACAAUUUUGUGAGGCUAUUCAAAUAUGUUUCCUUGAAACUUUUUUUUAAUAAUAAAGGAAUUUUUUAUAUUUGGCUUUUUAGACCUUAAAUGGCAUCCAAAAUACUUUUAUUUGACUAUGUACUAUCUGUUGCUAAUACAUAAGUAAUUCAUUUUAUGGAAAAUAUUUCUUCUAGCAUUAUUUGCUAGCAUUUUAAUAAAUAUAAUUUAAACAUUUAUUUGGAAAAGAGUCAGAAUUUUGGAAUAUAUGAUUCUCUAAAAAUACAUUCAAUUAUAGAUGAUUCAGCACACACUCCCUCCAUAUAUAUCUGGAUUCAGAUCCUUUAGUUGUUUAAAUAAUAAAAAAUUAUAAGUCUCUUAAAAUUUUUAGGCACAUAAAAAUUCUUCUUUGAAAUGAAUAAGAAAGUACCUUUAAUUCACAUUUCUAAUAUAGUUAUCUUAAAAUAUGUUGAAAUUCUUUUUAUCAUUAACUAUUUUAACUAUAGGAAAAUCCAAAUGCAUACAGAUUUUGAGACAACAAUAAAACAAAGCCCCAUAUCUUCAUUAAAUUUUAGUAACUAUUAUCUCAGGACCAAUCUUCCUUCACAUGUGCCUCUCCUCACAAGACUUCUCAAAGCUACUGAAAGGUACUCUUUUCUAAAAUAAAAAAGGAUGGGGCGCCUGGGUGGCUCAGUCUGUUGGGUGUCUGACUUCAGCUCAGGUCAUGAUCUUGUGGUUCACGGGUUCGAGCCCUGCGUGACAGCUCAGAGCCUGGAGUCUGCUUUGUGGAUUCUUUCUCCCUCUCUCUCUGCCCCUGCCCAGCUCUUACUCUGUCUCUCUCUCUCUCUCUCUUAAAAAUAAAUAAAACAUUAAAAAAAAUUAAAAUAAAAGAGGAGCAAACUAAAGGAUAAUUGUUUCAAAUAUCUCUGAUCCCAGCCAUUCAGCUGUGGGGCUCAGCGAGGGCAAUAUUCAACCUGAAAUCUGGCCCUGGCGGAGAUUCUUAAAUGUUACUUAAUUACCUGUUAACCAUUUUUAAAAUCAGUGACCAAAGUUACCAGUAAUGCAAGUCAAAGUGUAUUCCACCUAUGCAUAUAAAUCAUAUGCCUUUUGGUGGUUUAGGCUGCUUUUUGAAAAACGUUUAUUUAUUUAUUUUGAGAGAGAGAACACACAUGUGAGCGGGGAAGGAGCAGAGAGAAAAUGCCAAGCAGGUUCUGCUCUGUCAGCGCAAAACCUGAAGCAGGGCUCAAACUCAUGAACUGUGAAAUCGUGACAUGAGCCCAACCUGACUGAGCCACCCAGGUGCCUGCAGGCUAAUUUUUCUCCUGUAACAAGGAGCUGUUUAGGUGUCCUAUCAUCAUCAAUUUGUGUUUAGUCCUUUGGUUUGGGAUAUAACACAAAUUACUUCAGUGCAAGGCAAAACCCAGAACCCAUGAAUAACAGCCGUUGGGUGCUUUCACUGGCGUCAAGAAAAUAACACAACCACUUCGUUCAUUGUGUAGAGUUUAAAGCUUUCAUUUUAUAAAAUCGGUAAAUCAUCAAAACUCAAUUAGUAUUCAUUCAACAGUUCCAUCUAUUAUGUACCUACUCAUUGUAGCUACUCAUUCAAUGAACAUAUGUUGUGUGUCAUACACUGGACUAGGCACUAAGGCUACAAAGGUCAAGUAAAAUUCUAUGAUCUCUUACCUCCAGAUAAUGAAGUAUUAGCAAUAAGAAGAAAUGAUCUGUCACGCCACAUAAGGACAUGAAGACGUACUGCUGAGUGACAGGAGCCAAUCUGACAAGGCUAGACACUGUAUGAUUCCAAGUAUACGGCAAUUGGGAAAAGGCAGAUGGAGGCAGCAAAAAACAUUAGUGGUUACCAGAAUUUGGGAGGAGUGAAGGAUGGGUAGGUGGAGCAUCAGAGCCUUUUGGAGCAGUGAAACCAUUCUGCAUGACACGGUAGUGGCAGACACAGGUUAUUAUACAUUUAUCAAAACUUAUAGAUCGUAAGUUACAAAGAGUCAACCCUCAGGUAAACUCUGAACUUUAGUCAAUAAGUACAUGUCUUUGCUGGCUCAUUCAUUGUAACAAACGUGUCACUGAUGCAUCACCUUAAUACCUAAUAGGCGUAACUAGAGGAGAGGGGUAUGUGAGAACACUCUGUCCUUGCUGCUCAACUUCUCUGUAAACCUAAAACUCCUCAAAAUAUAAAGUCUAUUCAUUAAAAUCAAAUUUGUGAUCUUUUUCCUCUUAGAUUUCAAGAUCUAGUUUGUGGCAGAUGUAUAAAUAACUAUCCUUCUUAGUUUCCUAGGUUUACAUUAACAAAUUAUCACACGCUUAGUGGCUAUCAACAACAAAAAUUUAUUCUCUCACAGUUGUGAAGGCCAGAAGUUCAAAAUUAAGGUGUGGAUGGUGUCAUGCUCCCUCCGAAGGCUCUAGGGGAAAGUCUUCCAGCCGCUGGUGGCUCCACAAAUUCUUUGGCUUGUGGUCAAUCCAAUCUCCCCACCUUCACAUAGUCUCCUUUUUUUUCCCUGUGUGUCUUCCCUCUGAGUCUUAAGAGGACACUUACAUUGGAUUUAAAGCCCACCCAUACAAUCCAGGAUGAUCUCAUCUCCAGAACCUUAAUUUAAUUUAUAUCUGCAAUGAGCCUUUUUCCAAACAAAGGCAUAGUCAAUGGUUUAGGGUCUUAGCGUGUGGAUGUACCUUUCGGGAGGCCACCAUGCAACUCAUUGCACUACCCAUAACAAUAUUUGCACUAUCGAAUAUAGAAUAUAGUACAAAUACAGUGCUCUGAGAGGGAGGUCUGAGAGAAUCAUAGGAAAUGAGACGUGAGAUGGAUAUUGAAGGUCGAACUGGAUUGGCACAUCGGGGCAGUGGUAUAGUGAUAUGAGAGGUAGGAGACUGCUGUCCCCAGGGACAUAUUGCAGGACACAAGACAUAUUUAGAGAGUGGUAAUAAGGUCUGUGUCUCUAGAAAGGAGGGUGGAUGAGGGCUAAAGGAAACAAUAGCAUAUGAGUCUGAGAUGUCAGACUAUGCCAGGUUAUAAAGGAACUGACAAUCCUAAGAGAAAAGUACUUAUUCUACUUCCUAUUCACAAAGUUUCUAAAGAUCAGAUUUGUACUUUAGAAAUAAGUAACUGCUUGGAACAGUGAGAACUUUAGGAAGCAGAGGUUAGUGGCAGGGAGAUUAAGAGGCUAUGCUCAAAUGAGAUACUACUCUGAGGUCUCGCAGUGGGGAGAGAGCCAAGAGAUGAGAAAUAGAUAUUUCGGAGGUAGAUUAGACAGCAUGUGGUGAAUAACUGGAUUUGAUGAGCAGGGAAGGAUGUGAGGAUGAAUCCUCAGUUUAUGGCUUCAAGACUCUGUUUGAUGCCAUUUUCCAAAGUAAGGACUUUGGAGGAAGGGAGUGGUUUUAUGUGGGGUGUAGAAAGUUAUGAGCUAACUUUUGGAUAUAUUUAAUUUUCUUUCAUCUUGUACCCAAGUUCUAAAAUUGGUGUAUCGAAAUGUUUUGUUUUGGAGCAGUAAAGGGCUCUGAAAAAAGAAGCUUAAGCUUUUGGGGAAAUCUUCAAAAUUAUCUUUAGAAUUGCCCACAUAGGCCCUUCCAGUCAGUUUCUGUCACACAUGACAAGCUCAAACAAACCACAUGGCCCUGAAAACAAAAAGAAUGAAUCACCAAAUAUUGAGAGGCUUUACUAGUUCAUGAAGGUAAGAGAAUGUUUUCCCUUUUUGAGGGGCUAAAAGAGGUCUGAAAUGACCACGACAAAUAGCAGCCCAGUCUUAUUAUAAAGAGAUUGUAAAAAGAAUUAGAGCCUAAGCUCUCGCCAGGGAGGAGAUCUUAAAAUUUGAUGAAUGCUGCUUUAUUACCUUUUAUUUUUAUCUUUUCAGAGCUGGUGCAAUGAAAGAAGAAAUCUCUGUUCCAACAUAAAAAAUAAACAUACUAUCACUAUGACAGGGACUGAUUCAGUAUGGAAACAUUGACUGUAGAGGCAUUCUGGCUUACUUCAAAAGACUUUCAAUAACUGCCAAAAGAGUUUAUUUGGAUAGUUUCAGUUUCAUGUGUUUAAUCAACUAAAAACUCAAUCCAGAGUUGAGAGCGUGACACAGCAUGUGUGCAGAAGAGGGUGUGCAUGUGUUCAUAUUUGUGGGGCCAUGAGCGUGUUUGCAUGUGUGGAUGUUGGAGCAUGAGCAAAGGUGUGUGUGUGCAUGCAUGUGUGUUAUAACAUCUUAUGCUCUUUUAUAUCAUUCAUUUUUUUUUUUAUAAAUAGGGCCUGUGCUCAUCUUCACAGCUGUGAUUGUAUUGGACCUAAAUUUCUCGGAUUUCUCUAACACUUCAUCAUGCUCUAGAUCUUACAAUAGUAUGUCACAAAGGGAUUCCAUAACUAUAGAUAAGACAGGAAAGUAGAAGAGCAAAACUGCUUUCCCUCUGGUUAAGAGAGGUCCUGCAGCUUGAGGUGAUAAGCCUUUCUUUUAAGGACUCCUGUGUUCUUUCUGUUGGGAUCCACGGACUAGUAUGUACUAGUGCAUGUAUAUUGUGCCAUUCAGUUUUGUGGUAAAAACAAUGUGUCCUAAAGGAAUUGAUCUCUUAGAUUUUUCUGUUAUUAUAAUAGGUAAAUUCAUUUUAGCCAUUCACACCUGAGCUUGUUAAUAACAACAUGAUGACUACCAUCUCCUCUACCACUGACUUUUUGAGGUUAGCGGUGGGGAGGUCAGCACCUCGUCGGGUGUUUCUCCAGUUCUUCUUGUCCUAUGUUGUUUGGAGAGUUUGAUAAAAUCAUGGAUUCACAGGCUCUAUCCCUGCUGAGUAGCAGUGUUCAUGAAUGAAGAACUGUGAUUUUAGCUAGCUCAUUGUGAGCUCAUUAAGAUUCCGUAAGUUGAAGAAACAACAACUAGUCCAAUCCUUUGUUUUUUCAGAUUUUCAGAAGAUUGAGACCAGGGAAAAUUAUUAGCCCAUUUAGACCAUGUCUCUUUUUCCUAAACCAUUGUGCUGGCCCACCAACCUCUAAGGUGCACGAUACACAUAGAAAUUCUGACUUGGGUUUUUCAAGAUAAAUGAGUUGAAAAUGAUUUUAGUGUGCCACAGUGAAUUUGGUCCCAGGUCAAAUGCAUGUGUCAGCAUGCAGCUUAAUGGUUGUAUACAAUACACUGUUAAUGAGGCUGGAGUUGUGAUAUUUAUCUCUUUAGUAUCAUAUAUAAAAUAAAAACAGUAAUUUUCUGCCCAUCCAGCAUCUCACUGUGAUUCCAUUCAGUUGUCUUGCAAGUAUUCCCUGCUGGUCAAAAAAGGGAUCAGAUGAUGGAGUGUGGGUGACUUGUGACUGCUACCCAUGCUGGAGGGAUAUAACUCUGAGGGUAUGUGUUGAUGACAAUGCCUCAGCAGUAACUGUUCUGCAGAUGAAGAACAAUUUCUUUUUAAAACCAGUGUCAUUUGUCAUUAACUUUUUUUGGCAGAAGGAUGAGACGUGGCUCCUGUACCUAAUGAACUUACAAUGCGGGUGGAAAAACAAAGAUUGGCACAGAAACAGGAGAUUACAGGUCAGGUGGUGAGUGUAGACCUGCCGUUUCAAACCAAGGACAUAACGCAUUGUUUCCUCUCACUCUUCAUUCCACAUACAUAUAUAAUAAGGUAUUAUGUCAAUUGUUUGAGAAAGUAUUGGGAUAAUUUUUUGACAUUGACAGUCACUUACUUUACACUGGGCUCACCCAUCUGAAUUCUAUAUAUUAUUUCCUGAAGAAAACAAUUCAGUAAAUAUAAAUGUAGUUAAUUAUCCUUCUUUUGCAGUUCCUCUACAAUCAUGAGCAAAAGAUUAUAGAUACUGUGUUUUAUUUUUAUAGAAAACAUAGGCAAGCCUUGCACCUUCUUAGAAAUUUUGUGACUUCCCAUAAACUACUACAUUCUCCACAUUCCAAUUUUUUCAGUCGUUAAUUGUGACCAAGAGUGAAUGGCUUGACAGGAUUUCGCUUGGGGCACUCUAAGCCACAUGUUCAUCUGCCCAUUCAUUAAACUUCUUAGUAUUAAGAGUGAAGGAAGACACUGGGCUAGCACUUGUCACCAUUCCCUAGCUUGCCACGGUCUUUGGUCAGCUCAUAUUGCCUCUUCACUUCUGAGUUUGUUAGAGUUGCCAACUGAGGCAACUGACUUGCUAAGAGAGAUGGGGAGAUCAGGAUGAAUGCAUAUUAAAUUUCAUCAAACUCUUCUGGUGUCAUAAAGUUAGCAAAUGGCAUUAUUUAUGGCAUUAAUCAGUGCAUUUGUCCCUGCUCCCUCCUUUCAUACUCAUCUCCUGGAAAAUGAUUGAACAAAUCUUACCAUGUAUAAGGGUCAAAGAUGAAUAGUUUAUUUGCAUCCACCUCAUUGGUCCUCCCAAUUAUCCCAUGAUGUAGGGUGAAGUUCAUUCAAGUUUUCCAGGCUCAGAGACAAAUAAUUCCCCCAAAUGCAUGUGACCAUCAAGUGUCAAACCUGGGUAUUUGAGCACUUCGAGUAUGAUUCUGGAGCCAUAGCUUUUGCCACUUGACUAUUCUUUCUUCCAAGGAAGAGCUAUGGGAUUAGAGACAGUUGGGAACACUGACCCAAAUGAGGCAAUAUGGCCUGUCUCAGAGACGUGUAGCACAUACUCACACUCAGCAUUUGGUAGCCCCUCUUUUUUUCCUCCUCAUUCUCUAGGUCUGGACUUUUCCUAAGUUGUUAUUUGGAAGACCAACACAGGCAAAUUAUAAAGGAAGGUGUAACUUUAAGUAAUUUAUGGAAAAUGGCCACUACUCAGGGAAGGAAAGGUAAAUGGCAUCCAUUGAAUGCUGGCAUCCGUUGUUACCACAUGUACCUACUGCUACAGGCAUUGGCCCACUUUACAGAUGAGGCAUUAGAGUUCUUUAGGUUUACCCCCUUGCAUUGUUUCUGAUGCUUAAAUACAGAUAUUGUCCCUCCUUUCCAGAUGCCCUCUGCCUAGUGAGAAUUCAGAAAUGAACAUAUGAAUUACCAUAGACGGAAUGAAAGUGAUGAAAGAAAUAUAUACUGAAAAAUCUAUUUACUGAAACUUUUGGUUCAUUCAUUCAAAAGCUUCCAGUAAAAAUAAUAGAAAUAGUUUCAUGAGAUUCUUCUGAGUUCUAGAAUUUUCCUUUGGAGAAUAGGCCAGUUAUGUUUUUGUUUGGAAUUUAAUUUAUGGUAAGGUAUUCAAAAGUCAUUAUUAAUUUGAAGCUUAUUCAAACAGUCGAAGAAUGCCAUAAAAAUGAUACUUUCUGUGGUCCUGGAUAACUUCCUCCAUAAAACCUCCAUGGAUGGCGCUGAACGCCUGACCAUUUGCAGGAUUAAGCAGGUAUAUCUUGAACAAUUGUCUGUAGUCAGAGGCAGUAAAAUCAAAGCUAUGACGUUUUUAUCCCAUCAGGCUGUUCCAGAUACUAGUUCCACCUUUUGACAGGAUGCCAAGCAGUUGACCAUUAAAACAACGUAUCUGGCACCACGAUAUCUGGUUUUUGAAAAACUCAUUCCAAUAAAACAAAAUAACAUUGCACUUCAGUUUUCAAUUGCUUUUCUUUUUUGAUUGUCUUUGAACAGACACGUAUUUGAUUCACAGGAUGCACUUAAGUUUAAUGUUCCCAUAACCACAGACAAAAUUUUGUGCUAUUUUAAAUAAGUUUUAAUAGAAAGCAUGGAUGAUAGUAAGAAACAUAGUAAAACCUAGUGACUUCCUGAUACAUCUAUAAACUGUGAGCUAUUUUGGGAAAAUGUAAAAACAAUGCACAAAGAGACCCCACCCCCAAAUCAAGUCCCAAAUAAUCUUGAAUCAAAUAUAAUUAGAAGGAGGAGUUGAAACAAACAAACAAACAACAAAAAAAGCAAAUUCUGUGACCAAAGAAAUAUUGAUACUAUUCUCAAAUGUUAAUGAAAUGCAAAUCUGUGAAGAUGAACAAUGUCACCUUGAAAUGACACUAUCAAUUUUAGCAGACAGUGCAAGUAGUAAUCUAAUUGAUGACCAUAAGGAAGAUUUCACAGUAUUAUGAAACUAAAUGUAUGCAUUUUACAAGGAAGAAAAUGAGUACAAGAGAAGCUAAUUCUACUCAUAAAUAAUAUUACAAAGUUCCUUUUUAAAUAAAGAAAUGUUUUGUUAUAUCUGCUAUGUCUUAGAAAGACAUGUUAUAAUGCUUUUUUCCUCAGUUUCCACAGAGUAGAAACUCAUGCUUUCCCUUGCUCCCAAAGCAAGAAAACAAGCCCAUUCUUUCCAUUGGCAUUCCAAUUCACUAUUCCCCCCCACAACAUAUCACCUCUUUUACUAUAUCCAGAUUGAGGGUUUUGAAAAUGUAAACCAGUCCUCCUGUCUUAGAAACAUACAUAAGAAGUCUUUCUUCAAAAAAAAAUAAUAAAAAAAAAUAAGUAAACUUUUUUCAUAUUGGGAUCUAGGGCACUAUAAGAAAGGUAUUCCAAUUGAUGGCAGAAAGCCAUUAUGAGGAAACAAACUGUAUAUAAGCAUGGGGACACAGCCUUUGUAGCUCUGAAAUAACUUACACAAAGAACUCAUAUAUAAAUUUGGCUCACCUCAGCAGUGCUUUUUCUUUAAAUUACACAGAAAUCUGAAAUGCAUUGGGUGUAUGUAAGGGCAAACUGUGGCCCUGAGUAAAAAUGUGUAUUUAAAAGGGGAAAUGUGGAAGUAAUUAUUACCUUGAUGUAUUUACCAGAAUGCACAGAAUGUAUUCAACAUGUCUCGCUUGGGCAUUGAGGGUUUCGCAGAACACCUAUGACUCUAAAACUCCAGCAUUUGGCAUCAUGUGAUCCGGGAGUUAGUGAUAAACUACCUUUACCCAGGCACUGUUGUCUUGGAAAGCCUCAAGGAGCCAGGCUGCUGAGAAGAACUGAAAUCAUUAUUUGAAAUGAAUGAGUCAGUCUUCUCUGGUUCAAAAUGAACAGUGUUGCAGGCAGGCACUUUCGAGAAAUAAACAGGAACUUUUGUUUCCUUCCACAUGGAGACUAAAAAAGCCAGGCGAAGCAAAGUGUGCUAAGUAAUGGCAAAAAAAUUCUAGUUGGAUUUCAUGAUUACUGUUGGGUCUUUAAAUUGUACCUCUAAACCAAACAUUCAUAUUUCCUGCAAACCAGACUUAAAAGGAGGCUCUGGCCAGUAUUAAGAAGUGUCCAUAUGCCCAAGAGUGGGGAGUAUGUGUAUGUACCCAUGGGUUCCAAUGCGCUGGCUACGGUAGAUAUGCUGUGCAGAGUAACCUGAAGUGGGGAAAGUGUACAGUGGGAAUCCAAGCCAAAGACCUUAAGGAAAUGUCCAAAGUAGAAAGCUGAUGAAAACAUAGGAAAGUCCCUAAUUUAGAGAUGCAGAGGCAGAGCUACAAGUGGGGCCCUGGGAAAGAAGCCACACUGAAGUAGACAGACCAUAAACAACAUGGAGUGCCCCCUCUGAUUUCAGCACAAACCAGUGAGCAUUUAGGGUUUGUUUUAAUGGGACUACAAGUGCCUGAUCCAUGAAUAUAUAGAGCCAGCCAAAUAGAACAUGAUCAUGAGAUCUAAAUGUUUGCAUUUGUCUUGGCUUCUGGAAUGGUAGAUAAUAACAAUUGCCUUUUUACAGCAAAGUUCCAGGACACAUUGCUACUCCUCCUGUUCCUCUGUGAUCACACCUCACAGACUCUGUAAGUGAAUUUGAGAUUAACGGAUACAAAUAAAAUGCUGAGCUUCUGAAGUGAGGGAGUUUUCAGGUUAUAUAGAACCUUCAAAUACCAUACCUAGUAGAAGGGAGCAAGACUUAGUUCAGUCUAGGAAAGUACAUAGCCGUUUUCUGCUGAGGACAAAUGUUGGAAAGGCCAUCCUAGGUAAAGAAGAAACACCAUGUGUAAACAAACCAGUGUACCUAAGGAACUAGAGUGAUUUAUUAUGGAUGGACCACAGAUUAUUGGCAGGGAGUGGCAAAAGGCAUGGUUAGAAAUGUUCAGGCUAAGGCCAGAUUCUAAAGGAACUAGCUAACCCAUGUUAUGGAAUUUUAGCUUUAUCUUGUAGGCCAUGAUGAGUGAUUAAUACUACUAAUGGGAUGAUGGGGACGGGGUCAGGGAUCACAUGUUUCAGUGUAUACUCCAGAAAUCUACCUCUGGCAACAAGAUGAAUAGUUUGGAAUGAGUAAACCUAGUGGUAGGGGAAAUCAGUUAGAAAGUGUUGCAAUCGUUCAGUGAACAAAAUAAUGGAUAUUAUGGAGUAAGCAGCAACAGAACAACUGAGAUAGUGGACUCAAGAAUAUUCAGGAGAAAAUGUGGCAGUACUUAUAGAAAUGGACCAUCAGGGCCAGUGGGGUUGUUUGGUAGUAUGGAAUACAGGAGAAAAAGCAGAUGUGUCAUGGAGGAGGGAACAAAAGAGACAAGUUUCAUUUUGAAAAUGACGUGUCUGUGUGGCACAUCUGGGUGCAUUUGCUUGGGAUCAGACAGAAUUACUGCUUUUAGAAUUAAAUUCUAUUAUUCAGUUCACUUUUUGUUGCAAGUGACACAAGCCCAACUCUAACUAGUUUAAACCAAAUGAACGGAUUUAUUAGCUUUUUCAAGGGGACACAGCUGGAUUCAGAGAUCUAAACAUUAUUCUUAGGACUUUGUCUCUUAUUUCUCCUUGCUUCUGUUUGGCUUCAAUUUCGGUGGCUCCUUUCAGGAGGCAGUAAGAUGAAUACGGACAGCUCUACCCUUACGCACUCUCGAUUCCUGAGGAAAAGAACAUGCUCUUCCUAUUGUCUAUGUCAGAAUUUCUGGAUUCUGAUUAGCCUGAUUUGUCUUGCACCAAUCCCGUUCCCAGGGCAUGAAAUACUUGGAUUGUCCAAGCCAGGGUCAUGUUCCCAACCUGGAGGCCAGGUUCCAGAUUACUGGGUUAUUAAAAAAGGAUAAAAAAAACCCAGUGAAGAAUUAUACAGGGCCAGGUCCCCAACAAAGGAGCUUCUGUCCACACGGAGUUUGGGGCCUGGCCAGUGGCACAUGGCAGCGUUCUGGUUCGCCAACCUGGAAACUCCCAAAUCCCAUACUACUGGGAUUUUUACGGAGGCCUUCUCAGAUUCUUGCUGCUCAUUCAGUGUGGACCCAGUCUCCUGAUGACGAUGAUGGCCCACGGAUGUAAACUCACCUGUCAGCAGUAUUCUCAUGACCAUGUUGUAAAAUUAGAGCACUGUCCAGAAUAAUAAAUGAAAUUCAGGGAAAUGGGAAAACCAAAACUUGACAUGAUCCAUCCAGAAUGUACUUCCUGCCUUUUGAACACCAAGUAAAUUUUCUUUGGAGACUCUUCUUAAGUGUCCAUCUCAAUUAAACCUUCAUGGCCCUCCUUCAAGACAGAGUUAGAGAUGCGUCCCUCUGUACUCUCAUUUGAGCACUGAGCCAAUUACAAAGCAGGAGCUGUUAUCUCGAUCCACUCACUACUCAUGUCCUAUGAAGAGUUCUCAUUGGCCUUUGCUUGUUAAGAACCAACUCAUUCUGAUAGGUGCCUAUGGAAACAGGGAGCUGCUGUUGCCUGUUGGGACCUCGUUUGAUAAUGUUCAGCUGUGAACGCUCAACAUUUAACCUGCUGGAAGUCUCAAUAAAUGUAUAUUAACUGUUGACUGACUAUACUAAAUGAAUAAAUGAAGUUUGUUCGUGUAUCAACAGUGCUGUGUUUUCUUCCGUGUCACAGCCACCAGCAGUUUGGAGAACGGGGAAGGCUGAACUGUAUUAAUAUCAACAAACGUGGUUUGCCCCUGAUUAUACUUGUGACCUUGUGCAGGGGACUUCCCUCUCUAGACCCUGCUUUUCUCCUCUGUAGAGUGAGGGAAUUAAACCAGGUAAUCUCCAGAGUCUCUUGCUACUAUUCCAUCCAGUGAUUUGUGUGUGAUGUAGCACGUGUUCUGAUAUUCCUUACAAUAUUCGGGGCCAGCCGACUAACCACUCACUCCUCAAAGACUACACGAGCUGAGAGUUUAAUAGGAGAAAGUGGUCAUUCACUCCCAUCCACCUUUGUACUACUGCUCCACGAUGAUGCUACCUAGCCAGGAUAAACCCACUGUGGGAUGACAAAAGCAAUAUGGACCACCAAGAAAGGAAAUCACCAUAUUCCAGACUCUUUGCUGGUACCCUUUACCAGACAUACACCAUCAGCAGCCAGUUCUGUGAAUCUCGCGGUUGGUGAAUCCUGCUGGUGAGGCUCCCCGCCUCCUCUGCCUAUGCUUCCUUGGUAUCAAAAGUGCCUUCUGCGGCUUUACCUGUUGAACUUCUCUGAAGAAAAAAGUUCUUCCUCAUGCCAUUAACACGUUUGUGGUUCCAGAGAAACGAAAUCUAAGCAUACAGCAAUGUAAGAAUGCAAAUUGGUAGAAGAUAAAUACCAGAGACAAAAUGGAUCCCAGGACCUCCUAUCUGGACUGUAGCAUUAUUUUGUGUAUUCAUUUAUUUGAAGAAGGGAAAUCUGCCUUCAUGAAGAAAAUGUACUGGUCGCAAGGAGUUGGACUGUUUUGAUCUUGCACGGCAAAGUUCUCACUACAAAUUAAUUAACUGAGUGGAUUCCUAAGUGGCUUGAGUACAGUGAAUUUUUCAUCCUAUGUACAAAAAAAAAAGAAAAAAAAAUUGCAACAGAAGGCAAUACAGCCAAGUAUUGAGGAAUGAGGGAAUUUGGUGAUUGGCCACUAGUGACUGGCAAACUGGGACAGCAGGAUCUUGAGUUUCUAACAGUGAGUCUCAUAGUUCAGACAUUCAGAGCCACACUAAACCUUCAGGUAAAUAACCUUAACUUGAAUGUGGAAUUAACUGCUUCUCUUCAGUGCUUCAUUGAAUUCCUCUUCUUGUGCUUUCUCUUAGUCUCACCCUGAACUUGUAACAGGGAACAAGUUGGAGAAAAGCAGGCAAGUAAACUCAUCUCAGAAAAUCUAGGGAUACUUGCCGAUUUUAGAAAUCAUAUCCCUGAUAAGACCUUUGUGAAACAAAUUCUUGGUGCACAGGAAGGCAGGAACCCUGCCUUGAAUGUGAUUACUGGUUCUUUGCAUACUUUGAGUAGAUUUCCAAUAGUAAAAGUUUCCUUCUCUGCCCAAACCUCUCCCUUUCCUAAGAAUGCCCACAAUAGCUGACAUUUAUUUACAUAUUGAUAUUUACCAGGAGCUAAGUACUGUAUAUGUAUUAAUUCAUCAAAUUUUCCUAAGAAAAUCAUGAGGACGGUAAAGCACAGUAUUUUUUUUUUAAUGUUUAUUUAUUUUUGAGAGAGAGCGAGUGUGAGUGGGGGAGGGCAGACAGAGAGGGACAGAGGAUCUGAAGUGGGCUAUAUGCUCACAGGAAGCCCGGUGAAGCACAGUAUUUUUUAAGUAAUCUCUGUACCCAACAUGGGGCUCAGACUUACAACCCUAAGAUCCACAGCCACUUGCUCUACCAACUGAACUAGGCAGGUGACGCAAGCACAGUAUUUUUUUUUAAUGUUUUAUUUAUUUUUGAGACAGAGAGGGACAGAGCAUGAGCAGGGGAGGGGCAGAGAGAGAAGGAGACACAGAAUCAGAAGUAGGCUCCGGGCUCUGAGCUGUCAGCACAGAGCCCGACGUGGGGCUUGAACCCACAAACUGUGAGAUCAUGACCUGAGCCAAAGUCGGAUGCUUAACCAACUGAGCCACCCAGGUGCCCCACAAGCACAGUAUUUUUUAACAAAACUUAAUUUUUAGAAGAGUUUUAACUUUACAUAAAAAUUGGAAAGAUAGUACAGAGAGUUCCUAUAUAUCCCACACCCAGAGGUAUUAACAUUAUAAUUAACAUCUUACAUUAAUAUAAUUAAGGAACCAAUCUCAGUACAUUAUGUUUAACUGAAGUCCACACUUUAUUCAGGUCUUCUUAGUUCUGAGUGUCCUUUUACUGUUCUGAGCACAAGAUUGUUAAAGAAACUUCCAAGAUUACACAAUAGUAGUUGACAGCUUGUCUUUAAAUCCAGAUUUACUCCAGGAGUCCAAACUUUCAAACACUCAUUAUAAUGCAUCGUGAGAGUAAGGUAUGUCUAUUAAAUCAUACAUCUUGAGAAGAAACUACACCAAAUAUACAGGAAAAAAGCAUCUUUUCUAUAGUUGCGGCAAAGCCAGUACAAUCUGAGGAAUAUCUGAUUCCAUGGAAAGCUUACAUGUGACAUUUGUGGUCAAACAACCAAGUCCCUCUCCAUCAGUUAUAAGUAAGUAGUUAGGCUUCAGUUUCCUUUGUGGAAAAUGGUCAUAAUACCAUAUGCAAGGGCUAUUGAGAGGAUUUUUGUAAAGACUAAGGGAUAUCUGCCUGAUUCCAACCUACUUAAGCAAUACAUAUUUUUUCACUUCUUUCCUCUUUUUUAUGUCCCAUACCCAUAUGUGUCUAUGCUCAGUAUUUGUAAAGAAAAAUGUCAUUACUGAAAGGUGAUAAAAUGUAGGAAUGACCUCACAGGUGAAAAUUCUGAUAUUUCUCUUUGUGUUGAAGAAGUUGACUGGCCACCAUCCUGCAUGAUUUUCUUAUCAUUGGCUCUAUGACAAAAUCACAAAGCUUGAUCCAAAUGACGAGUUAAGGCCACUGCAGUUGUAUUUUUACAAUGUCCUAUCUCCUUACCUCAGUUUCUUUAUAUUUAAAUAACUGGUAUACAAAUCUCAUAAGAAUGAUUUUCCGCACAAGUAUCAACUCAAUGUUUUGAGGCUUCUUUUCAACAAUUGGUCUGGUUUUCCAAAAGAAAGUUGGAUUCCAGCGUGUUCCUACUGCUUCCUGGUGCCUGUAACAGCACCAGGAACAGGGAGUUCAUCUUUCAUACACACAACAUGGCUUUGGCAACAGGGCGAAAGUGUCUGUCCAGCCAGGAAAAAACAUUCACACACCCCCACAUGUUCACACCACCCACAUCCAAAAGGCUGAGUCUGGGAGCUGCCUUUAGAAUUGUCAUCAUGUUCCGAUACGGAUUCUGAGGCUGAGCUAUAUCCAUAUUCUGCAGUGUCUCAAACCUACUCAGCGACUCUUCCAUUGCUAUCCUCUCACUUCCCUCUUGUUUCCUUCCCUGCUCCUGCUUCUGUGUCUCUCAAUACAUCUAUGCUAUUAAUGUUGUAAGAAUGUCAUUUAAUUACUUUAACUAAAAUGUGCAGAAUGUGUUAAAGCCACAAAAAAGGCUUUGAAAAUUAGAUGUUUUAAACUUUGUGGACUAUAUUUCCCUCAUUAACUAUAAAAAAAAGUAUGGUCUCAUUUAAAUUUACAUGUAAUAAAAAUUUUUUAAUUUUUGAAAAAAUAUAAGUACAAACAGAAACCUAGUUUAGAAAUGCCAACUCUUACCAACUUAGGAUGCUAGUUAAUUUGUUUCUACAUGAAGGGAAACAUCUUUAUCAUACAUCAAUAGAUCUAGGAAAUCGAAUUAUAUGAAUAAUGGGCUCAAAGGAGACUGUGAAAUGUUGUAAGUUUCCUCCAGAAAUUCCUUAACCGUUCCAAAUAAUAUUAUUGAAAAUCUCCAGAAGAGAUAUUUGAUGACUUUCUGUAGUAAUAUGAUAUUUUUAAAAUCUCUCCUCUCCUAUAUUCAUAUUUCAUGAGAAAUGGAGGAUUAUCAUUUCCCAUUAAUAUCCCAACAAGCUUAUACUAGAUCUGCAAAGAGGGCAUGUAUCUUACAUGAGAUCUGACUGGCAUUGUGAAUCAAUGAAUAAGGAUAGAGAUGAACACUCUCUGUGCAUCUGGGUGGCAGCGUAGCCUAGUAGUCAAGAGUGUGGGCUCUGGACAUACACAACAUAAAUUGUCUGGUGCCGCCACAUUUUCUGUUUUUUGUUUUGUUCUGUUGUUUGUUUUGUUUUGUUUUGUUUUGUUUUUAGCUAAAUGAUCUUGGAAAAUUAAUUAUCUAUUUCCUUAUCUGUAAUUGAGGUAAUAAUACUACUCAACUCAUCAAGUUAUGGUUAAUGAAUUAAUGUAUUUUGAGGAGAUACAAACACAUUCGAUAAAUAGGAUUUUUUAUUUCCUGUGUAAUAGACACUGUACCUCUAGAGAUAUUUUAAAUAUUUAGUCUCCAUUUAAUAUCCUCAUAUUAAUGAUAUAAUUGGACAUUAUUAUUUCCAUUUUGUGAAUGAAGAAAGGGUAAAGGGGAAUUAGAAACCUAUUCAAGAGGAGUCCAUUAGACAGUGGCAGAAUAGAGAGUUGAAUUCAGAAUUAUUUUACUUCAAAGCCCAUCAUGAGGAGGCAAUUAUCUCUCCCUAAAAAUGAUACCAUAGAAUGUGCUCUAAUUUUAUUUUACAAUAAUUUUAACUUUAUUAAAAACUAUUGAUUAAAAUCACUUUAGUUCACUUUAACUUUCCAAUGAGACUUUAGACUUUUCUCCAAGAAUGUGUAAUGUACCUUACAGUGAAAGCAAAUUGCUAGGUCUUUUUGUUUUGUUUUAUCCCUUUGCUCAUAUAUUUAAACAGCAACCAUUUGUUGGCUACUUCAGUAUAAAUAAUGUUGAAGCAAAAUGAAGAUCAAAAGUAUUAAUGCCAAGUGCCGCUUAUCUAGGUAUUAUCAAAGUGGAAGAAAUGAGACAACUCUUCACUCAACGUACGAUAAAAUAUUCAACAUCAUCUAAUUACUAACAUGAGUCACACAGGAAAGGAAAUGCUAUAUAAGCUGUGAAGGGUUUUAGAUAGCUCAAUAAAAGAAGUAAUUCUUGAGCUAGGAAUAAAAUAGUGGGGAGAAUUUACCUACAACAUGCAAGGCAUUCCAGACCAAUGAUAUAGUGUGAGGGAAAGUGUGCAGGUAGAAUUGAGUAUGGCUUAUUUGGAAAAAAUGAGGAAAUAAUCUCAUUGGAGCAAAAACUGAGUUGAGGAGAUAUAUGAGCUGAGACUGGAAAAACUAUUUAAAAAGCAUACUAUGACCAACCUUGGAUGAGAAUUUGCAAUGUUUCCAUUUUAUCCCAUAGGCAUUUGGGGUCCACUGACAGUUUUUGAGCCAGGAUAGUUAUGUGAUGAAAUCAAUAUUUAGAGAGAUUUCAAAAUAAUUUUGCAUUUAAUACUGAAUUAUUUUAAUUCCUUUUCUUCCAUCUAAACUUGGUGGAGGAGGGAAAAUGGGGAUAGGAUUAUGCAACUACCACCAGUCUCAGUGAAAUAAGACCAUCUCCAUGUCCAGUCUGAAAUUUCUGUACAUUAUGGUUUAGAGGAAGAGGUAAUGGAGACCACUAAAAUAUUCCUGGUGACAAGUGAUGGAAGACUAAUGCAUUGUGGGGGGAUGGAUAAAGAUAUCCUGAAGGAAUAGCAAGAACUUUGGAAGAAAAUGUCAAAAACAGUCAUACAAAUGUCACGAAAAGUUUACCUUCCCUAUGGAUGAGAUUAUUAGAAUACUACAGCUAGCUCAUAGAAGGAGGAUUGAAAAGAAGCAUGAAAACAGAGAAACACCUUUGCCUGUGCUAAAAACUGGAGAAUGGCAAGGCCCUCCUAAAAGAAACUGAAGAAAUCCUUCUAAAUUGUUCAAACUAUGACAAGCCGGUUUCAGGAGCACCUGAGUGGCUGAGUCAGUUAAGCAUCUGACUUCGUCUCAGGUCAUGAUCUCAGGUUUGGUGGAUUCAAGUCCUACAUCGGGCUCUCUGCUGUCAGUGCAGACACUGCUUUGGAUCCUCUGUCCCCCUGCUCUCUGCCCAUCCCCUGCUUCUACACAGUCACUCUCCCCAAAAAAAUAUAUGAAAGAAAAUCUAAUGUCAGAGAAAGAUGUGUGGAAGUGAAAAACAUGUUUGCUGAAUUUGACACUGUAAACAUGAUGGCAGAAAACAUCUGACCUUAGAAUAUAGAAUAUAUGAAACAGAAACCAAGCUCCAAAAAGACUCUUACACAAAGAAGAAAAUGAGUAAAAUGAGGAAAAUUAAGAUAGAUGUAUGACAGACUAAAGGAUUUGGUCUGUUUUAUAUAUUUCCAUAUAUAAAAUAGAAAUUAAGAAAAGGUAACAGAAUGGAUAAAUCAGAAGCAAGUGUUAAAGAGACAAUUAAAAAGAACGUUUUUUGAGUUGUAAAAAAAUAUACUCAGAGUAUAAGAGAUUGUCAAGUUUCAGGGAAAGUAGAACAAGUAAGUUGUUAUCUAUACUUAACCUCAUGCGUUUUGAAUUAUAAGAUAAACUUUAAAAAAUACUAUAAGCAUCCAGAUGCAAAAAUAGUUUAACUUCCAGAAAGUGAUGAAGUCAUGUUUUCAAUGUUUGGCAAAAUUCUAUGGUCAGCCAAAUUCAUUUAUGUGAAAGACAAGCUGGUGGACAUUAUCAGACAUGCAAAAGCUUAGGAAGGAUGCUACCCUCAUACUUUUCUGGUAAAGAAGACUCAAAUACAUGCUGUGAUAGAUUGGAGAAUAAUACAAAAGAGAAUGGAGAAUAAUAGAAUGAAAGAAAAUUGUGGGAAAAAAAACCCAGAAAACAUAGAAUAAGUCUAAAUCAUUGCUUUUGCAGAUUAACAAUAAUGUAUGUGUCCAAAUAUUCUUACUUUUUUGUAUGUAAAUAUAAAAAUUAGUCAUUUAACAUUGAUAUGUGCGUAUCAACAAAAACUUGGAAAAAUAAGAGGGAGAUUAGAAAGUGAAAAUUAUGAUUUUUACAGAUGAUAUUACAUGGGUUAGUUUUCAUUAUUGACACUUAGAAAAACAUUGGUUUAAAUAUUUUUAAGUGAAAAAGGAUAGAUUCAAGUAGUCUUACUUGAAUCUGGAUGAUGUGUAUAUGGAGCUUCACUGAGUUCUUUUAAUUUUGGUUCUGUUUCAAUAUUGUCAUUCUAACCUAAUAUAAAAAUGAUCACCAAAAACCCACCCAAAGAGUUUUUUCCUUAUGGAAUGCAACAACUGAAUUGGUAAUGCAACAGAGAAAGAAUUCAAAUGUUAUUACUGUAAGAAACAGAUGCAAAGUAGAUUAUUUUUGCUGUGAUUAAAACGUAUUUUACUAACUAAAGAAUAACCACUGCUUCCAUAAGUAGAUCUAAAGUAUCCAAUUUAUAAAACCACAAAAGACCUCAAAUAAUCAAAACAAUCUCCAGAAAGAAGAACCAAGCUGGAAGAAUUACAGCUUCCUGAUUUCAAACUGUAUUACAAAAUUAUAGUAAUAAAAACAGUAUGGUAUUAGCAUAAAAACAGACACCUACAGCAAUGGAACAGAAUAAUGGGUCCAGAAGUAAGUCCAUAUAUGUAUGUUCAAUUAUUUUUGACAAAGGAAUCAAGAAUAUACAAUGAAAAAAGGAUAAUCUUUUCAUUAAAUGGUAAUGGGAAAGCUUGACAGCCACAAUCAAAAGAAUGAAACCAGACCCCUAUCUUCCACCAUACACAAAAAUCAACUCAAAAUACAUUAAAGACUUUAA